CCCGCCUGCAUGAAGCCGGAAUCGCUAGUAAUCGCGGAUCAGAAUGCCGCGGUGAAUACGUUCCCGGGUCUUGUACACACCGCCCGUCACACCAUGGGAGUCGAUAACGCCCGAAGUCAGUGACCCAACCGAGAGGAGGGAGCUGCCGAAGGCGGGAUUGAUAACUGGGGUGAAGUCGUAACAAGGUACC
rnacentral:rRNA from 1 species